GACGGAGCACGCCGCGUGAGUGAUGAAGGUUUUCGGAUCGUAAAGCUCUGUUGUUAGGGAAGAACAAGUACCGUUCGAAUAGGGCGGUACCUUGACGGUACCUAACCAGAAAGCCACGGCUAACUACGUGCCAGCAGCCGCGGUAAUACGUAGGUGGCAAGCGUUGUCCGGAAUUAUUGGGCGUAAAGGGCUCGCAGGCGGUUUCUUAAGUCUGAUGUGAAAGCCCCCGGCUCAACCGGGGAGGGUCAUUGGAAACUGGGGAACUUGAGUGCAGAAGAGGAGAGUGGAAUUCCACGUGUAGCGGUGAAAUGCGUAGAGAUGUGGAGGAACACCAGUGGCGAAGGCGACUCUCUGGUCUGUAACUGACGCUGAGGAGCGAAAGCGUGGGGAGCGAACAGGAUUAGAUACCCUGGUAGUCCACGCCGUAAACGAUGAGUGCUAAGUGUUAGGGGGUUUCCGCCCCUUAGUGCUGCAGCUAACGCAUUAAGCACUCCGCCUGGGGAGUACGGUCGCAAGACUGAAACUCAAAGGAAUUUUGACGGAAA
rnacentral:rRNA from 1 species